rnacentral:tRNA from 1 species
GGCGCCGUAGCCAAGUGGUAAGGCAGCGGAUUGCAAAUCCGUUAUUCCCCGGUUCGAAUCCGGGCGGCGCCU